rnacentral:lncRNA from 1 species
AACCUUGGCAACAGUAGUAUCUGACAUCAUGAUGACUGCAAAAACUUGUCCAGAGUGUGGGAACUUGUUAGGCAGCAACUGAUGCCACAAAUGCCCUUUUCCAUAUUCCUUCAAACAGGGGUGAUUCAGAUCAGUUCAUCCUUGUGUGGAAUGAUAACAACUCACCAUUCACACCCUUCCACAAUGCUACUUGAAUUUCCUAUUUGUCAGCAAUGCAUCACCUGGAAAAUCUCCCACUACUAGAGGAGGGGCUUGUCUUUCUACUCUGCUGAUAAUAUCAUUCUACUGAGUCCACAGAAGAGAGCUACCCAGCAAGGACUGAACAUCCUGCUAAUACACAAGUGGCAACUUGCUGGGCCAUUUUUACAGAAAGCAUACAAGCACCCAAGUGAAGUUUCUGGGCAUGAUCAGGAUAUGCUGUCUCAUUGUCUCAUUCCAUGGGAGAAGACUGCUUCUGACCCUCGCCACUCCAACAAUUAAAAAGGAGGUCCAUGGACUGAUGGAACUCUUCACCUGCCUGCAUUCUUAAUGCCAACCAUUUACAGGGUUACAUAAAAGGUCGUUUCCUUUCAAUGGGGCCACAGCCAAGAGGAUGACCUGGAAGCCCUUCAACAAGCCCCAGGCUACCCCUUUUUGCUGUCUCUGAUCCAUUUUGCCUUCGAGUUAACAGAUAUCAGCAACCUCUCUAUUCACCAAUUGGAGUUUAGGCAGAAGGACACUGCCAGAGGCAUCAGUUGGAGUUUUAAUUCAUCAUCUCUAGGAAUAUCUGGCUGAAAGGUACACAGCCUUUAAGAGAAAAUUAUUAGUCCAUUAUUGGGCUUUAGUGCAUACUGAGCACAUGACCCAUGACUGUGAAAUAAGUCUCAAGAAAAGAAAUUCCAACCAAAAGUUAUCAAUAGUUUUGCUUUUGCUCUCUAUUUAAGGGCAUUUCCACUUUGCUACUAAGUCACUUCAGUUGUGUCCGACUCUGUGCGACCCCAUAGACAGCAGCCCACCAGGCUCCCCAUCCCUGGCAUUCUCCAGGCAAGAACAGUGGAGUGGUUUGCCAUUUCCUUCUCAAUGCAUGAAAAUG